CAGCAGCCACGGUAAUACAGAGGGUGCGAGCGUUAAUCGGAUUUACUGGGCGUAAAGCGUGCGUAGGCGGCUUCUUAAGUCGGAUGUGAAAUCCCUGAGCUUAACUUAGGAAUUGCAUUCGAUACUGGGAAGCUAGAGUAUGGGAGAGGAUGGUAGAAUUCCAGGUGUAGCGGUGAAAUGCGUAGAGAUCUGGAGGAAUACCGAUGGCGAAGGCAGCCAUCUGGCCUAAUACUGACGCUGAGGUACGAAAGCAUGGGGAGCAAACAGGAUUAGAGACCCGAGUAGUCCCUGUCUCUUAUAC
rnacentral:rRNA from 1 species